GUUAAAGAUGCAGUCUGGGAUGAACUUAAGAAAGAGUUUAAUAUCCCUGAGUCAAGAAGAAGUCAUAUUUUGGUCCAUGCACGACUACGUUGGAAAGAUUUCAAAACAAGAUUGGUCCGUGACUUCAUCAACAAACCGAACGAAAAAUAUAGCUCUCCCUGUGAGUUAUAUAAGUUCAUGGAUGAAAAAAAAUGGGAGCAAUUUGUAACCACGCAUGAAACUGAAGCUGCCAAGUCAAAAGUAUAGGGAGUUGCAAGCGCGAAAUGUGCAUCCUCACUAUUUAGG